UGGGGGUCUGGAGAGCGAGUGAGCAGCCGGCUGCUACACUGCCGGUGUGCGCCCGUACGGUGGCUUUUGUUGCGUUUGUGCUCGAGUCCAGCUUCUCCCUCUCCAUCUGCCUCCGUUAGGUUCUCCUCCAGUUUCUUGUGCUGCCUUCUCUUUCUCUCUGUUGGGUUUCGAGAUGUGUGGAUUUCAGCAUGAGAGCUGAUUGCGUUUUUCUCGUUUUGUGGAUGAUUGGUGUAAAAUAGAGAAAUCUGUCUGGGCGAACCCGCUACUGUGGACUAUCAUCAUCACCAUCAUCGGAAUCAUCGCAGUGGCAAUGGGAGUCAGGACAUGGAUGCUAGCCGGAGGAUCUCCGCAGGGUCCUUGCAUCCCAGACGAGCCGUUGAGAAGCCCUUGCCUUGCGCUACAAAGCGUCUUCAAUCAAUUGUUUUGAAAAGGCCUUUCCGUUUUCCGAUGAUGCCGGCGGUUCUGUUGUUUCUCUCUGUAAAGGACUCUCUUCGGUGACGGGUAUUCUUGGGUGGAUAAUACGGCUCUCGUUGUUAUUGCUUAAGAAUACGCGUAGUCGAGGAGAGUCAUGUCGGCGGCAACUGCAAUGGACUAGAGAGAGUGUUGAAUCCAGAAGGCCCACCUGCCUGCACGCAUACAUGCGUUUGCUAACGCCGAGGUUCACGCCCAUAUCCAUUUAUUGAGUCAGCGAAGCUGCAUUUCCUGUUUGUGUGUGAUGCUUGUGCUGUUGAUUUAUCCGGCUACUCCUGCUCUUCAGCCAGUGCAAAGGAAAAAACAGGGUUUUUAUGAUUCACUGUCCUCACCACAAAGGCUAUAUAUUGUAACGUCCCGGGCGGGGUUGUAGAUGCAAAUGUGUACCGUUUGUGUCAUAUAUUCUUUUCUCAGGACCACCGCACACACACUCUACCUUUUUAAUGCAAAUUGAUUUUGAAAUGACAUUUAUCAUGCAGGGUUUCCAUAUGGAACUCCGGGGGGGGAUGGAUGGAGGGGAAAAAAACCAAAAAUGAAUGAAAUGUCCACGAUGCCACUGACAGCUAAAUUUAUGCGGAUUGUAAAGGAACACAUUGCAGAUAAACAGUUACCAUGGCUUUAGAUUGACCGCGGCGUGGCUUCCCAUGUAGGCACGCGUAUAUCAUGAAUAUGUAUUAGGCGAGCAUAUGAUGCUGCAUUCUAACGUCCAUGAAAUCCAUUUAGGGGACCUAAUAGGAUCUACUUGACUUAUGAAAGCUUAUGAUCAAAUCUUAUAAAUAUACAUGAGAUAGUUUUAUGUGGGAAAAAAAAGUAUUCUUUUGCUUUAUUAUAUAUAUGUAGUUUGCAUAAAAACGAAGAGAUUGCAUUCGGACCGGCUGUUGAUGUAUUGACGUGGACGAUUUGCAAAUCUGCAAACAUUUGAAUUUGUUCUCCAUUAUCAUUCGGCACAUUUAAGUGAUGUAUUAGCAUUUCAGAUAGACUAAAGGCAACAAUCAGCCUGCUCUGUCCUUGAUCACUCUGUAAUUAUCGUUCUUUCGGCUGUGUGUUUAAAUGAGUGGAGAGAAAAGAGGUGUGGAGGAGGAAUAAUGUAAUGUUUUACCACUAGGGGACCCACACAACUGAAAAUCACAGCAGUUGGUUAACUUUUUAAGUCAUAUUUUAUAUCAUUUUAAGGUGUUUGGGGUGCAUAGGUUCAAAACUAAUAGAAAUAUUUGUUUAGAUGAAAAUAGCUUUAGAUCUAGAUCUUUAAAAAAUAAUGUGAUUAUUUUUUAUUCUUAGCAUGUACAUUGAAAAUGAAUGGCGGUUCAUUUAUUCCUUUGUUAAUUUUUGCUGUCCAGUGCCUUAGGAGUGACAAUUAGGUCACAUGCAACCCUUACACUUAUCUGUUAUAUUAGAAUAUUUUCCUGAAUGUAAGAUAAAAAUUAUUUUUUUAAACUAGAAUAUUCUACACUCAUAGUUGUGAUGUCUGGAGCAUAUUGAUAGAAUUUCUCUCUGAUAUCAUUUUUAUUGAUGCUGUUUAGUAAAUAUCUCGCUGUAAAUAACUCCUCACACAGAUUAACUUCCAUCUGCCUGCAGUUUAUGACGUGAUGAAAUUAUUCAGGCCUCUGCAGCUCGUCUUCAAUUGUUCUUUAUUGAAAUGAUUUUUAUGUGCACAUCGUCUUUGUUCCUGCCCCUCAUAUCAUAAAUAAAGCUUGAUUUAAGUAAAAUUAUGAUGCAUUUGUAUAUUUUGUCCUUUUAUAGGUGAAAAAUCUGUUUUAAAUGUAGGUCAUAAAUAUGCAAAACAUACAUUACAAACAAUAUUAAAAAUAUAUACCACAUACAAACAAAUCAUAAACAAUUAAACAGAAAUUUCAGAUUAAUAUAAUAAUGUUUUUCUUCUGUACAUUCUGAUAGUAUGGUUAUGCUUCAAAAAGCAUCAGAAUGUUGAGAUUUAGAUUUUUUUUGACACCAUUCAACACACUUUUCUUCUGGUUUUCUGAGCUUGUGGCAUUCGACAGCUUGCAGUUUAUUUUGCAAGACAAAAUAUAGCCCCAAACAACAGAAAACAGACAUAAUAGAUGCCUUUCUGGUCAUCAUCACAUUCUUUAGAAUAAGACUGAGAUGUUUUGGUGACAGCGUCCAUUACCCUAUAUUCUGAUUAUUCAGCUGUAGGAUCAAUGUUUCUGUUUAUGUCUCUGUUCUGCUCUCAGACAGUUGAAUUCAAUCAGUUGCAAAAGCCUUAAAUUACAGGAACGUUUUCUCUGCAGUGACUUUAAUUAAUUUUAAAGAUUUGAGAUACUGAUAAAACGUGGAGCAUGUUUGGCUGCAAUUUUAUUUAUUUAUUUUAUUAUUGUUAUUAUUAUUAUUAUUUAUUUAUUUAUUUUUGCCAUUUUGUCUCAUCUAAUGGAAGCCAAAUUAUGUAAGCUUUAUAAACAUUUAAAGUAUGAAUUAUUAAUUUAUGCACAUGACAUGACUACAUUCUAUAAAACAGAUUGAUUUAGUUUUUUGAGUAUAAGUAAAUAUUUAUUUUAUUUUAUUAUUAUUUUUUCUUUUUUUCAAUUGAUAAUUCUUUGAAUAUUGGUUAUUCAUUCGACUAAUUAUUUUACCCUUCAUGGUUGUAUGGGUUGGUAUUUACACCCAGCACAAAGGCCUGAUCUGCUAGGUUAUUUUUUAUAGGCUCAGCAUUUUUGAGCUCCUUUACAGGAUUUUCCUCAUACAUGAUGUCAUGUUCAAUCAUUCCCUGACUUCUCUCAAGACCAUAAUGCUUUUCAC
ensembl:lncRNA